rnacentral:rRNA from 1 species
GACGAACGCUGGCGGCGUGCUUAACACAUGCAAGUCGAACGGAAAGGCCCUGCUUUUGUGGGGUGCUCGAGUGGCGAACGGGUGAGUAACACGUGAGUAACCUGCCCUUGACUUUGGGAUAACGUCAGGAAACUGGGGCUAAUACCGGAUAGGAGCUCCUGCUGCAUGGUGGGGGUUGGAAAGUUUCGGCGGUUGGGGAUGGACUCGCGGCUUAUCAGCUUGUUGGUGGGGUAGUGGCUUACCAAGGCUUUGACGGGUAGCCGGCCUGAGAGGGUGACCGGCCACAUUGGGACUGAGAUACGGCCCAGACUCCUACGGGAGGCAGCAGUGGGGAAUAUUGCACGAUGGGCGGAAGCCUGAUGCAGCAACGCCGCGUGAGGGAUGACGGCCUUCGGGUUGUAAACCGUUUUCGCCUGUGACGAAGCGUGAGUGACGGUAAUGGGUAAAGAAGCACCGGCUAACUACGUG